AUCUUGUCACAGCACAGCAGAUGUGGCAGCUCAUUCCCUCAGCAGUAGUGCAGGGCAAAAAGAACAGAGGAUGCAAAACCAUGCAUCUGAAACCAAGGACUGAAGGCCAUUCCAGCCACACCUCUACGCAGUCUCAGUGGGAUCCCCCUGGAACUGGAGCAAUCCCAGAACUGUCCAUUACCACAAGUCUUGGUAUCAGCAGUGAAAGCCUUUCUAGAGACACUUUCUGAAGACAUGUCGAUAGAACAGCAUCGUCAAUCAAUCCGAUAGAUUUUGAGUGUAUCCGCAAUGAAUCUACUCUGCAAUAAAUUGGCUUGAGUCAUUUAAAAACUCCUAUCUUAAUGCUAGGAGAAGAAAAAUUAUUAUUUUGAUCUAUUCCUCCUCCCCUUAAAGCACCUUGGGCAAGGGCUAAGCAUAAAAAGAAAAAUAACCAACAGCUGUAUUAC